CAGAGCAACACCGUGUCUCACACAUGAAGAAAAAAAAGGAAAAAAUGAGGAAAAGAAACCUGAAAAGGGUUAAAUAUUUUGCUCAAGAACACACCACUGGGCUGGGCAUAAUGGUUCACACCUGUAAUCCCAGUACUUUGGAAAGCUGAGGUGAGUGGAUCACCUGAGGCCAGGAGUUUGAGACCAGCCUGGCCAACUAACAUGGCGAAAACCUGUGUAUACUAAAAAUACAAAAAAUUACCUGGGUGUGGUGACAGAGGCCUGUAGUCCCAGCUACUUGGAAGGCUGAGGCAGGAGAAUUGCUUGAACUCGGGAGACAGAACCGGAAGUGCAGGGAGCUGGGAUUGCACCACUGCACCCUAGCCUGGGUGAGAGAACAAGACUCCAACAAAAAAAAAACCCACCUGAAACUGAUGGAUUCAGAGAGUGAUCUGAAAAAUUGAUUUGAUGCCCAAACCCAUGAUCUUUUUUUACACUCCACAAACUUUAUUAAGAAAGGUGCUGAUUGUAUUGUUAGAUACAGUCUCAACAUACGCCUCUCCAGUCAGUAUCUAAAAAAUUAUUCCUGCUUCCCCACAGCUUCACAACUCACCUUGGUGCAUCUCUGUCCCACACGGGAUUCAGAAGUCUAAUCAGGAAUGUAAUUAGGAACAUGAUGCAGAUGGGCAAGGCCUGUCCCUUCCUUCUUCAGCUGCUGUGUGGUGCCAGCUACAGACUCCACAUUGAUGCCCAGCACCUUCUCCUCCCAGCCCCCACCCUGGACUGGUCGCCCUGAUUGGUCCCAGCACCAGCCCAUGACUGGAUUGUGGUCCAGGAUGACAAGACCAGGAUGAAAGCAUAUUUGUCUCCAAACCAUCAUCUCCCAAUGAAUAGAAGCAGCAGCUUAAAAUCAUCUGAUUAAGAGCUGCUCCUUCAUGCUCCCAG
rnacentral:lncRNA from 1 species